UGAGGAAUAUUGGACAAUGGGGGAAACCCUGAUCCAGCCAUGCCGCGUGAGUGAAGAAGGCCUUCGGGUUGUAAAGCUCUUUCAAGUGUAAAGAUAAUGACGGUAACACUAGAAGAAGCCCCGGCUAAAUUCGUGCCAGCAGCCGCGGUAAUACGAAUGGGGCAAGCGUUGUUCGGAAUAACUGGGCUUAAAGCGUGCGCAGGCGGUCUUGAAAGUCAGGAGUGAAAGCCUGGGGCUUAACCCCAGAAUUGCUCUUGAAACUCCAAGACUAGAAUCCGGGAGAGGUUAGCAGAAUUCCGAGUGUAGAGGUGAAAUUCGCAGAUAUUCGGAGGAAUACCAGUGGCGAAGGCGGCUAACUGGACCGGUAUUGACGCUCAGGCACGAAAGCGUGGGGAGCAAA
rnacentral:rRNA from 1 species